UACGUAGGCAGCGAGCGUUGUUCGGAGUUACUGGGCGUAAAGGGUGUGUAGGCGGUUCUCUAAGUUUGGGGUGAAAUCUCCCGGCUCAACCGGGAGGGUGCGCCGAAAACUGGGGGACUCGAGUGCGGGAUGGGAGAGUAGAAUUCCUGGUGUAGCGGUGAAAUGCGUAGAUAUCAGGAGGAAUACCGGUGGUGUAGACGGCUCUCUGGGCCGAAACUGACGCUGAGGAGCGAAAGCGUGGGGAGCGAACAGG
rnacentral:rRNA from 1 species